rnacentral:rRNA from 1 species
AACGAACGCUGGCGGCAUGCCUAAACAUGGCAAUCGAAACAAAGGCUUCGGCUUUGGUGGGCCCGGGUUGGUUAAGGGGGGGGAAUUUCCCCUUGGCCCGGGAUAACCAGCGGGAAACGGUGGCAAUACCCGGUUGUGACCGAAAUCCCAAAGAUUUAUCGCCAGAGGAUGAGCCCGCGUUGGAUUAGGUAGUUGGUGGGGUAAAGGCCUACCAAGCCGACGAUCCAUAGCUGGUCUGAGAGGAUGAUCAGCCACACUGGGACUGAGACACGGCCCAGACUCCUACGGGAGGCAGCAGUGGGGAAUAUUGGACAAUGGGCGCAAGCCUGAUCCAGCAAUGCCGCGUGAGUGAUGAAGGCCCUAGGGUUGUAAAGCUCUUUUACCCGGGAAGAUAAUGACUGUACCGGGAGAAUAAGCCCCGGCUAACUCCGUG